GUUCAGGAGAGGAGGAGUACAUCUGCCUGGCCUUUAGGAAGAGAGCAAAUGAAUUCAGAAGGCAGAUGGAGGAUUUAUUUCACAAAGCAUCAAGAAGAAACAAAAUCAGAAUUUGAAAAGUUGUCAGAAAAUAUAUCCAAGAUGGUUAUGGUUUUUUAUGGAAGCAACGGCAAGUCAAAUCCAGUUACCAUGGAAAACAAAGUGGAACAUCAGACUGAGAAGCAAAUAACAUAUGAUAUACAUUUGCCAUCUGAUUUGGGAAUGCUUUAUAAAGUGCGGCUUGGUCUCCAGAGUUUGGAAAACAACUUUUCCCAGUUGUCUCUUCGUCACUUUAAAAUACAGAAUACAUCAACCCUGGAUACCUUUAGUCUCACCAUAAAUAAAACACUUCCUCUUUCUCCUAAUGGAGACAGAUGGAUUGAAUUCCCUAUAGAGUGGCCAUUAAAAGAAGCAUUUUCUGUGGUUACAUAUCAUCUAACAGUAUUUUCAAGAAAUAUUUUGAAUGAGAGAAAUUUAGUACAUAUGACUGCAUGCAUAUAUGGUACUCAUGGUGACACAGGAGACAGAUCCCUCCUCCAGUCAUUGCAGAAUGUACAUCAGGGAGAGAAAAAUGAGGUACUCUGUCAUAAAGUAUUUUAAAAUUUACCAUUUAAUCCAUUCGUAUACUUC
rnacentral:lncRNA from 1 species